GUUAUCAUUUUUUUGUUUUAGACAUGCUCUACAUUUAUCUACUAACUUAGCAAACACUAAUAAAAAAAAAAAUAUAUAGAAUAAUGAAAUAAUGAAUGAAAAAAUAAUGAAUAAAGGAAUAAAAUAAUAAAGGAGUAAAAUAAUAAAGGAGUAAAAGAAUAAAGGAGUAAAAGAAUAAAGGAGUAAAAGAAUAAAGGAGUAAAAGAAUAAAGGAAUAAAAUAAUAAAAUAAUAAAAGUGGCUAUUUUUACCUCUGUUUACCUCUGUUUACCUCUGUUUACCUCUGUUUAUCUCUGUUUACCUCUUUUUACCUCUUUUUUUUUUUUUUUUUUUUUUUUUUUUUUUUUUUUAAAUUUUUUUUUUUUUUUAAAAUAAACAAACUAGCGAAACGAAUUAAAUUUAUUUUUAAACUAAUUUAUAUUAUUCGACUAAAUUAAUAAGCACAGAAUGGAAAAGUUGCAUAUGCCAGUGCAACAACUUAUAAAAAAAGAAAAAAAAAGAAGAAAAAGAAGAAAAUAAAGAAAAAGAGAGAAAUAAAAAGUCUCAGCUGAUAUAUUAUGCGUAGCUAUAUAUAACUAUGUUCACAUUUGUGUAUACAUAUAUAUAUAUGCAUACUCUUCAUUCUAAAUUUUUGUAAAAAAAAAAAAAAAAAAACAUAAUAUUGUUUGUCCGUCCGUUUGUACGUUCGCUUGUUUAAUUUAUAUUUCACAUUUAUUGUUUUACAUUGUUUAUUCUAGUCUACUCACUUACGUUUGCUUUUUUUUCAUAUUUGUAGUAAUACAAAAAAAUAAGCAUUUAAAAAUGCAUUUCUUUAAGUGUGUGGUUCUUUUUUGCUGUUUGGCUUUUUUAAAUUUGACUUGGGCUAAAAUCGACCUGGUCCGGUCAGAUUUUGGUUUGGAAACAUGUAACGAAGACAAAGUAAAAAUUUUAGGUUUAGAUUUUUAUGAAAAGUCAUGCGGAGGAAAAAAUCUAUUACCAUAUGUAGAAUGGCUAGAUCAUAAUAACACAACCAAAUCAUAUUUAAUUACUUUGACAAGUGCAAUAAAACCAACAAUGACUGUUCAUUUUUUAGCAUGGAAUAUACCUGCCUUUUUAAAUAUAAUAAGUGAUUCAACAGAGUUUCAAUAUAUUGGAGCAGUUGUA
rnacentral:lncRNA from 1 species